UUUGGGGAUUACCUGGGUGUGUCUAAGGUGUUUAGAAAAAAGAAAAGAAAAAAACACCUUAGACUCUAAGGUGUUUUUUUUUCUUCUUUUUCUAAACACCUUAGACACACCCAGGUAAUCCCUAAACCC